rnacentral:misc_RNA from 1 species
UCAUAUAAAAAAAACUAAAUUAAAAGACUUGUGGUGUCUAAUAACGUUUUAGCUGUCUAAUAAUUUUAAUCACAGACUAUUACGCAGGCCGGCAGGCGUAUCAAAAAAGGUUUGGCUUAAUAACAGGUGGAGGCGUGCGUUGCGCCCCCGCUACCAGGCAAGCAGACAACUGUAGCAGACAAUGAGACAACAAAUCAACAAAGGUGGUGCAUGAAAAACUUGAAAAAAAGGUUUCUGGGGUUUGUAGUACUUUGCUUGCUACAAAUGGCGCUCCGUAGUCCGUAGUUAUUGUGAAUAUUGAAAAACAUUCACACAUAUUAGCAUUAUAACAUAUUGAAUUUCAGAGUUCAAAUAACCUUUUUGACAUCCGAUGGACAAAAUUUCUCAACAAGAAACGAUGAUAUCGAAAAUCAAUGGCUCGUGUCCGACGUCUCCAAUAUAUUCCCAUGACUAUUGUUUUUCCUAAUAGCACAUGGAAGAUUCCCGCGAAUGAGACUCUCUUGGCCUCUUCUAUGAUUUGGCCAUUCGCGGCAGGUGACAACCUCAGAUGGACAUGGAUUACUCAUCAGGUGUCUUGUACAGUACCUGCAGAUUGAAAAGACGAACACCACAGUGGACUACCAUCACCGGUAUAUCAACUGGACGCCCUCCUGUUUCCUAGAUCUCGCGAAAGUUUGUCUGCUAUACUUAUAAGUUUGUAGACCUAUUCCAAUCCCCAGCAACAUCAAUCUGCAGAAGGAAAGCCCUGUUUGCAUGCCCUUGACUUUCGAAGGUCACCGAGAUCAUUACGUAAAACGUGUCAUGCAGUGGUGUAGAGGUUGGGUGAGAACGACCCAUCCCCAGCAACGUCAACCUGCGGAACCAGUUUUCUUGUCCUUAGCGCUCGAAGGUCACGGAGAUCAUUAAGUAAUACGUAUCAUGCGACGGCGGAGAGGUUGGGUGAGAAAGGAGAGAGAAAAGGCCAGAGACAUCAGUCGAGUGAGGAUCUCCGACACGGCAACAACUGCAGCGCACUCUCUGUCACCAUCUGCCUUCUUCAGCGUAUUGCCAGUUCGUAUCCAUGGUUAAUAAGGCGUCGUACGCUGUUCGGUGUUGUGUCGUUGUUUGGUGGGUCGACCACUGGUGUAUCGAUGUCUUCUUGGUAUGGCGGCUACCAAACCGCAACGCCGCCGCCUUCCCAAAAGCAACUCACGCAACGACCAGUUAUUGCACCAAGGUCUACAAGUACUACACUACUAAGGCACCGGAGUUUUAUACCAUAAUUUCCGCUGCCCCGAGCCACUACACUGACGUCCUGAAGUAUUACUCUGCCCCGAGUUACUACACCACCAAGGCAACGGAGUAUGACUAUGCAUUCUGCCCCAUCCUACUACAUCGAGGCUCCCAACUGCUACACCGAGGCUCCCGCUGAUUACUCCACCGAAGCGGCAAAGUACUACUCUGCCC